rnacentral:rRNA from 1 species
UAGUGGCGGACGGGUGAGUAACGCGUGGGUAACCUGCCCUGUACAGGGGGACAACAGCUGGAAACGGCUGCUAAUACCGCAUAAGCCCUUAGCACUGCAUGGUGCAUAGGGAAAAGGAGUAAUCCGGUACAGGAUGGACCCGCGUCUGAUUAGCCAGUUGGCAGGGUAACGGCCUACCAAAGCGACGAUCAGUAGCCGAUCUGAGAGGAUGUACGGCCACAUUGGGACUGAGACACGGCCCAAACUCCUACGGGAGGCAGCAGUAGGGAAUCUUCCGCAAUGGACGCAAGUCUGACGGAGCAACGCCGCGUGAGUGAAGAAGGUUUUCGGAUCGUAAAACUCUGUUGUUAGAGAAGAACAAGUGCUAGAGUAACUGUUAGCGCCUUGACGGUAUCUAACCAGAAAGCCACGGCUAACUACGUGCCAGCAGCCGCGGUAAUACGUAGGUGGCAAGCGUUGUCCGGAUUUAUUGGGCGUAAGGCGAGCGCAGGCGGUUUCUUAAGUCUGAUGUGAAAGCCCCCGGCUCAACCGGGGAGGGUCAUUGGAAACUGGGAGACUUGAGUGCAGAAGAGGAGAGUGGAAUUCCAUGUGUAGCGGUGAAAUGCGUAGAUAUAUGGAGGAA